GGGGAUGUAGCUCAGUUGUAGAGCGUGUGCUUCGCAUGUACAAGGUCCUGGGUUCAAUCCCCAGCAUCUCCA
rfam:Larimichthys crocea isolate SSNF unplaced genomic scaffold scaffold109, whole genome shotgun sequence.